rnacentral:rRNA from 1 species
AUGAGACGGGUACGUAAUCGAAAGCACUUGGCAAGACCUAGCCCCGGGUCUCCGCACGACCCCAUCUCUCGACGAUACCGCCGCCGCCGCUUCCUCUCCUUUCCUCUCCCUCGAUUCUUCUGGCGCCGCCACCCUCGUUCUGCCUCUGCAUCUGCUCCGACCCCUCCUUUUCCCCGAGCUGCCGGCCUCCUCCUCUGCGUCUCUCCUCGCCGGUCGUCGCUCCAAGUCGCAGAUCUCAUCGCCGCGGUUGUAGUGGCCGGACAAGACGAAGAGAAGCUGCAGCGGCCGGCUGCAGUGUGGCCUCGCCGGAGGAGAGCGCCGAUCGCCGUGGACGACACAGAGCCCUCUUCGGCGGCGCUGUUCGGCAGCCGCCGCGGCGGCGACGAGGGGGCGGCGCCGGCGGCGCCGGUGGAGGAGCUGGUAGAGAGCGCGGACGGGUUCGCGGGCGUGUUCCCGGAUCACAAGCAUGAGAUAGUGCGGCUCCUGCAGGCGAACGGCCGCGUGUGCGGGACGAUGGGCGACGGCGUGAACGACGCGCCGGCGCUGAAGAAGGCCGACAUUGGCAUCGCGGUGUCGGACGCGACGGACGCCGCCCGGGCCGCCACCGACAUCGUGCUGACGGAGCCCGGCCUCGGCGUCAUCGUCUGCGCCGUCCUCACCAGCUGCGCCAUCUUCCAGCGCAUGAAGAACUACACGAUUUACGCCGUGUGCAUCACCAUACGGAUAGUUUACGACUUUCCGCCAUUCAUGGUGCUCAUCAUAGCCAUACUCAACGAUGGGACGAUCAUGGCGAUAUCCAAGGACAGGGUGACGCCGUCGCGGAGCCCGGACAGUUGGAAGCUGAACGAGAUAUUCGCCACUGGGGUCGUCAUCGGCGCCUACCUCGCGCUGGCCACGGUGCUCUUCUACUGGGCAGUCACCAGAACCACAUUCUUUGAGGUUAGCACAUCCAAGGCUGAACCGAUGAACAUCUCUGUUGAUCUGUACUUCGGGAGAAAGAGAGAAAUUUUGCUUUCAGACUGA